UUGAUUUCUAGUUUUUGUGGUUGGAAUCUUCUGCCUCCCCUUCCCUGUGACAGGGUGAUGCUGGUUUUAAUUGAGGUAUAGUUGACACACAAUGUUACGUUCAUUUCAAGGUACAGCACAGUGAUUGGAUGACUCUAUACCUUUUGGUAUGCUCACCACAUUGACACAGUUACUUUUUAAUGAAAGAGUAGGGUUCAUCUCCUUUGGAGCUCUUGUGAAGAGAACUUCCCCACACCCCUCAUGAUAAUUGCAGAGCUCCAGGGAUUCAGCACAACUGGGGAUAAAGCAGCCCGCCCUUCUCUGACCUGCUCCUGGGCUGUGACUUUGCUGUUACCCAGCCAACGUUCUGGCUUGUCUCUCAACACCACUGUGUUCUCCUGCCUCAAGCUGGUUGUGGGCACAGACGUGAACCCAGCACUUGCUUGGGGUCUGCCGUGACAGUGUAAAAGGAGGAUGACUUCAGCCCCAGGAAUACUUCCUGAUGACCACUGGCUUCUAUUUAUACAGCCCAAUGCCGGGCUUGCCCAGAGGAUGCCCACAUUACAUAUCUGUGAUGCCAUCAGCUUGUCGGUCAGCCGGAAUCUGGAAUCAUCCUCUGCUGUUCUCAAGUGCCCUCUAAUUACAACAUGUCGGAGCUGAUAACCAAACCUCAAAAGCUUCUCAAGUCUUACAGAUAGAUGUAGUCACAACCGUGUCCAAUGUCGCAAAUACGGUAAAGCCCGAUACUUGUGAGCCCUUGCUAGUUUCCAAAAAUUGUCUACAGACUCUCUCUGUCUCUCCCUUUUCUCUGUUAUCUCUUGCUCAGACUCUACAAGGGCCUCCUAACCAGGCUUGCUCUUUGUAUCUUUGGGCAUCUCUUAUCUAUUCUCUAGAGCAGGGGUUGGCAAAUUUUUUCCAUAGGGGGCCAGAUAGCAAAUACCUUAGGCUUUGCAGGCCACAAGUCUCUGUUUCAACUCCUGAAUUAUCCUAUUACAGCAUAGUAACAGCCUUAGAUGAUACGUAAAUGAAUGUGAGUGGCUUUGUCUCCAUAAAACUUUAUUUAUGGCUGCUGAAAUGUAAAUUUCAUAAGAUUUUCACGCAUCAGGAAAUAUUCUCCUUUUUCUUCUUCUUCUUCUUCUUCUUCUUUUUUUUUUUAAGCCAAUGUUAAAAUGUGAAAAGCAUUUUUCGCUUCUGGACAGCACGAAAAUAGGAGGCGGGCUGGAUUUGGUCCAGGGGCCACUGUUUGCCCAGCGUCCCUCUAGAAGGAUUUUUCAGAAAUGCUCUACAACGGCUGUUAUGGCGGCUGCUGCUGCGAAGCCAUCUGCUGAGUGUGUACAAGGCACCAGGCGCCGAGCUAAGCGCUCCCCUGGGAUGCACUUCAACCUCACACACAGUACCAGAGGCACUGUUUGCCUCCUUAUUGAGAAGCAUGGGGCUGCCCCAGGGCACCCAGCCAGAAAGAGAGAGAGCCAGAACUUGAAGCUGGUUGUCUGAGCCUACACCCUUCCCUGCCAUGCCACACUGCCUUGGGUAGGACCGCAGUGGUUUCCCGCUGCACCUGGAACAUACCCGUGGCCCUUGCCAUGGUUUCUGGAAGCUCAGGAUGUUUUCAUUCCCCCAUGCCUCCAGCCCUUCCCCCAGAGCUCGCUGCUCCCAGCCAUUUUGAUUGUCUUUUGGUUCCUUGCACUCUCCAAGUUUAUUUAUGGCUCAGACCUCUCACCUGCAAUGCCCCUCCCUCCUCUGUUGGCUAAGCAGAUGCCUGUGGGUCUGAGCUUAAGUGUCCCUGUCUCAGAAAGGCCUUCUGUAACCCCAGCGGGAUUCUGUCUCGCAGAGCCGCUGCAGUAUUUAUGACAACAGGCGACUGCACAAGUCUGUAUUGAUUUCAUGGCCUUCCCCCCCCCACUAGACUGUAACCCCAUGAUGCAGGAGGGGGGAAGCCAGCCUUGUUAAUAUACAGUAUGAGCUCAGGGCCUGACUCAGAGUAGGUGCUCUACAAAUAUCUGGAGAGUGAAUAAUAACCAAAUACACUUUGCCUCUUAAUCUUUUUGAUCAUCCCUAGGAAGUAGUUAUCACUUCCCCCCCUCCUCAGCCUUAUAAUUGAGGAAACCUGGAUUCAGAAACAUCAAGCAGCUUUUCCAAGGUGACAGAAACAAUGAUCAAAUUCAAGGUCUCCGAUGUCAUGUCCAGUGACUUUAUUGAUGUGCUGUGAACCUUCCCUUAUGGUUAUUCAUGUUUUUACAGAUAAAUUAAUUUUGGCAAAGGUGCCUAAAUUCAGAAGGUACAUAAUGGUACAGAGCAAAAAGUCCUUGUCCCACCUCUGCCUCCGAGCCACCUAGAGCCCUUUCUGAAAGCAACUGAUGGCUCCAGUUUGUUACAUACCCAUUUACAGGCCAUCUAUGCAUAUACAGGAAAACAUCUGCAGUUACCCUUCUUCCUCCCCAUGGUUCACAUAGUGGCAACAUAACAUACAUGCUGUUAUUACUUUCCUUCCUUAGCCUUGUGUUGUACAUUCUCAUCUCCUACGUAUUCCUACAAAUCACUUCCAUAUCCCUGCAGAUAGAGCUUUACUCUUAAAUUUAUUUUAGGCAGCAGAGUAGCUCAUCAUAUGCACAUUCCCCAAUUUAUUCAACCAUUCCCCGAUGACAGACACUUGGGCUACUUCCAAAUUUGUGCUGUUACAAACAAGGAAUAACUUUGUAAAUAUGUCAAUUCACACAUGUGCAAGUAUGUCUGAAGGAUGAAAUUCUAGAAGUGGAGCUGCUGAGAUAAAGGGCAUGCUACAUUUAUUUACUUAUUUUUGAAGUCUGUCUUCUCAGAAAGCAUGACGCAUCAUUUCCGAGACCGACACUGACCACGUCAAUUGGACCAUGGUAAUGCCAGGUCAAUGUCUAGAGAGAAGCUGGUAGAGGAGAGCUGCUUUCCUAGGGGGAUCUGAGAGUCAGGCAAGUGCAUUCGCCUCCCAGCCCCGACACUCUCCCUCCAUCCUGGCUCUUCAAUUAACUCGCGCUCCUCUGGAUUCAGUCUUUGAAAGACAGGCAGCGUCAUAUGGAAGAAUCAGCCUGGGAUCCAAGAUCGAACGUAUGUCAAAUAACGUACCCACUAUGCAGUCUAUGAGCUGUAUGACCUAGGGAAAGUUACUUAGCCCUUUGAGCCUCAGUGUCCUCACCUACAAAAUGGGGCUAAUAAUUCUACCCAACUCACAGGGUAGUUGUGAGGACUGGAUAAACUAACCCAUGCAGCAUAGUAAACACAGUACACGCAAGCUA